rnacentral:rRNA from 1 species
GACAGCCCCGUACACAAAAGCGCAUGUGCUGUGAGCUCGAUGAGUAGGGCGGGACACGUGAUAUCCUGUCUGAAUAUGGGGGGACCAUCCUCCAAGGCUAAAUACUCCUGACUGACCGAUAGUGAACCAGUACCGUGAGGGAAAGGCGAAAAGAACCCCGGCGAGGGGAGUGAAAAAGAACCUGAAACCGUGUACGUACAAGCAGUGGGAGCACCCUUCGGGGUGUGACUGCGUACCUUUUGUAUAAUGGGUCAGCGACUUAUAUUCUGUAGCAAGGUUAACCGAAUAGGGGAGCCGGAGGGAAACCGAGUCUUAACCGGGCGUUAAGUUGCAGGGUAUAGACCCGAAACCCGGUGAUCUAGCCAUGGGCAGGUUGAAGGUUGGGUAACACUAACUGGAGGACCGAACCGACUAAUGUUGAAAAAUUAGCGGAUGACCUGUGGCUGGGGGUGAAAGGCCAAUCAAACCGGGAGAUAGCUGGUUCUCCCCGAAAGCUAUUUAGGUAGCGCCUCGUGAAUUCAUCUCCGGGGGUAGAGCACUGUUUCGGCUAGGGGGCCAUCCCGGCUUACCAACCCGAUGCAAACUGCGAAUACCGGAGAAUGUUAUCACGGGAGACACACGGCGGGUGCUAACGUCCGUCGUGAAGAGGGAAACAACCCAGACCGCCAGCUAAGGUCCCAAAGUCAUGGUUAAGUGGGAAACGAUGUGGGAAGGCCCAGACAGCCAGGAUGUUGGCUUAGAAGCAGCCAUCAUUUAAAGAAAGCGUAAUAGCUCACUGGUCGAGUCGGCCUGCGCGGAAGAUGUAACGGGGCUAAACCAU